rnacentral:rRNA from 1 species
UACGAAGGGGGCAAGCGUUGUUCGGAUUUACUGGGCGUAAAGCGCUCGUAGGCGGUUUGUUAAGUUAGGGGUGAAAUCCCAGGGCUCAACCCUGGAAUUGCCUUUAAGACUGGCAAACUUGAGUAUGGUAGAGGAUAGUGGAAUUCCCAGUGUAGAGGUGAAAUUCGUAGAUAUUGGGAGGAACACCAGUGGCGAAAGCGGCUAUCUGGACCAUUACUGACGCUCAGGAGCGAAAGCGUGGGGAGCAAACAGGAUUAGAUACCCUGGUAGUCCACGCUGUAAACGAUGGAUGCUAGUUGUUGGGGUUUCUCAGUGACAAAGCUAACGCGUUAAGCAUCCCGCCUGGGGAGUACGGUCGCAAGAUUAAA